UAAAGUAUGCUCUUUUCUAAAAGGUCUUUAACACGUUCAUUACCACUACGAUUUUCAUGAUGUCUUCUCAGAUGCCGCCUACAUUUUCCGGUGGACUCACCAGGUGAGUCGCCGGCACUGCUAUAUAAAUUGAAUCGACUCGCCACGCGAGUUCACUGGCACUACUUAUGGUAAAUUCUAUGUUUUGUUAUUUUUGUGGCCGUCACAGUGUACAACGCAAUUAAAAAGUGUUUUAGGACUUGUCUUUUUUCUUUAAAAAGUGUUUUAGCUUGUAAAAAUGGCAAAAAACUCUUCGGAUAAAAAAAAAGCGCGGUUUGUGGCAGAAACGGAGCCUUACGACGACGAUUUAACUCAGAUGGAGGAGGAGAGACCUACAAAGCGACCAUGCAUAGAAGGAAAUCUCCAAAAUUACACUGAAGACAACUCGAUGAAGGUUCUGUUUGAAAAUGAUUCUCAAGACUGGGAUGACGACAAUAAUAACUAUCAAACAUGUGACAUUUCAACAAAUACGAAAAACUUAAAUCUUACUGAAAGCAGCACUCAAACUAAUACUACAGGUGAUAAUUCUAAGUAUAUAGAAAUGGCCAACGAAAGCUUUGGCAUUUUUAUUGGACGUGAACUUGCCAAUGUGCCAAUGUUUAAAAGGCGCUUUGUUAUGUAUCAGAUUAUUAGACUGAUUGAAAACAAUUCAUAAAUUAAUAAUUAAGGUCUCUGAUAAUUGGGUUGAAAGUUAUGUAAUGAUAGAAACGCAAAAGAAUCUAUGAAUGAUUAUUAAUAAAUACUAUCAAUAUA